rnacentral:rRNA from 1 species
CCUACGGGAGGCAGCAGUGGGGAAUUUUGGACAAUGGGCGAAAGCCUGAUCCAGCAAUGCCGCGUGUGUGAAGAAGGCCUUCGGGUUGUAAAGCACUUUUGUCCGGAAAGAAAUGGCUCUGGUUAAUACCUGGGGUCGAUGACGGUACCGGAAGAAUAAGGACCGGCUAACUACGUGCCAGCAGCCGCGGUAAUACGUAGGGUCCAAGCGUUAAUCGGAAUUACUGGGCGUAAAGCGUGCGCAGGCGGUUGUGCAAGACCGAUGUGAAAUCCCCGAGCUUAACUUGGGAAUUGCAUUGGUGACUGCACGGCUAGAGUGUGUCAGAGGGGGGUAAAAUUCCACGUGUAGCAGUGAAAUGCGUAGAGAUGUGGAGGAAUACCGAUGGCGAAGGCAGCCCCCUGGGAUAACACUGACGCUCAUGCACGAAAGCGUGGGGAGCAAACAGGAUUAGAUACCCUGGUAGUCCACGCCCUAAACGAUGUCAACUAGUUGUUGGGGAUUCAUUUCCUUAGUAACGUAGCUAACGCGUGAAGUUGACCGCCUGGGGAGUACGGUCGCAAGAUUAAAACUCAAAGGAAUUGACGG